rnacentral:rRNA from 1 species
AGGGUUCGAUUCUGGCUCAGGAUGAGCGCUAGCUACAGGCUUAACACAUGCAAGUCGAGGGGCAGCAUGUGGUUGCUUGCAACCAAUGAUGGCGACCGGCGCACGGGUGAGUAACGCGUAUCCAACCUUCCCUAUAGUAGAGGAUAGCCCGGCGAAAGUCGGAUUAAUACUCUAUGUUUUCCAAUGCAGACAUCUAAAAUGGAACAAAGGUUCACCGCUAUAGGAUGGGGAUGCGUCUGAUUAGAUAGUCGGCGGGGUAAUGGCCCACCGAGUCGACGAUCAGUAGGGGUUCUGAGAGGAAGGUCCCCCACAUUGGAACUGAGACACGGUCCAAACUCCUACGGGAGGCAGCAGUGAGGAAUAUUGGUCAAUGGGCGAGAGCCUGAACCAGCCAAAGUAGCGUGCAGGAAGACGGCCCUAUGGGUUGUAAACUGCUUUUAUACAGGGAUAAAGUGACGUACGUGUACGUUUUGUAGGUACUGUAUGAAUAAGGACCGGCUAAUUCCGUGCCAGCCGCGGC